ACUCCUACGGGAGGCAGCAGUGAGGAAUAUUGCACAAUGGAGGAAACUCUGAUGCAGCAACGCCGCGUGGAGGAUGACGCAUUUCGGUGUGUAAACUCCUUUUAAGAGGGAAGAUAAUGACGGUACCUCUUGAAUAAGCACCGGCUAACUCCGUGCCAGCAGCCGCGGAAU
rnacentral:rRNA from 1 species